rnacentral:lncRNA from 1 species
AGAACUCACAUUUUUAUGGAAAUAAAUAUCACUUUCAAACCAACAAAUUCCAGUGGGCUGAUGUCUUUGUCUUUUGUCAAGUAAAAGUAAUGGAUGGAAAGUUCCGAUCCACAAGAGGCCAUGGUACUGGUACCACUUGUAACUAUGUGAUUAAAAUGGUUCCAAAUUAUUACAUCAGCUAAAAACUAUUGUGCUGUUAAAGCACACUGGGCAUGUACUCUAGCUCCAGUCCCCAGCUACAGAUAUGAGCCAGAACCAGCAGGACUGAUAAUGGACUCAGAGAUGCAUCCCUAUGUCUAGGUAGAUCACUGAAUAAUAGAAUCAUUAAGGUUGGAAAAGACCUCCAAGAUCAUCUGUUUCAACCAUCUCCCUGCCACCAAUAUUACCCACUAAACCACGUCCAACCAAACCACAUCUGACCUUUCCUUAAAUACCCCCAGGGACACUGACUCCACCGUCUUCCUGGGCAACCCAUUGCAAUGCCUAACCAACCACCAUGCAACCAUGAGCUGAAAAACUGCAUCACAUGUUCAGAAACAUAACACUACUAAGUUUAUCUGGCAACUGACAAAUGCCCAAGAAGCCAAGUGCAGAGCAUUCUACCUGCAGCUGGCAGAUGAUGAAGGAAAAAAAAUGUGAAUGGGAAGAUCUCUCCAAGAAUGUCUGUUUCCACUAUAUUUUCUAUCCUAUAACUAAUUAUUCUGGCUGGACAAAAAAUAAAAUAGAACACAAUAAAGCACAAUAAAAAACCUGGAUGUGUAUUGGAUUCCCAAGUUCGCUUGAAGCCAAAACUUCAGGUACAUGAAGGGGAAGCAGAAACGGUCCUCUUUAUCCCUCAGCCAAAAUAUCAACAUAACACUUGCCAGUCAUUCUCUGCUGUGAUUAUCAGAUUGGCAUAUAAACUGAUAAUUGCCAUCCUGCUCAGAAUGGAGCACACACACAACUUCAAACAAACUAUUCUCUAGUGCUUGGCUUUAUCAGUAACUCAAAACAACAAUCGUAAAGCACGUCAGCUAAAUUUCCCCCCCAGGCAUUGCUGUGCCUCAGGUUUUAUGUGCCAGCCUCCAGCAGGUCUGAAGGGGAGGAAGGAGGGAGCACAGUUUCCAAGUGUUGCUACAAGGCUAACACAGCUCCUUCAGCUUUCCAUCACCAUUCUUCUCAGA